AAAGAAAAUAUAAAAAGGAUCCUAUCAAAUAAUAGCGCAGACAGGAAGGACGAAUUGCGUAAUUUACCCAUCUGAAGUGCAAAGGCGCGAAUCAGGGCUACGGAGCGGGUCGACGCGCGGAUCCCCUUCCCCUUAAACGAAACCGUUUCUUCCCUUUUAUAAAACCAAACAUUUCCUUCAAAGAACAAAGAAAACAAUCGGCCAUCUCUAAAAUAACCCUAGCCCCCUUUCCUUGAUUCUUCCUCAACCAAUCCCAAAUCUCUACCCUCAGACGCCGUACCCUCGCCUCUAAUAGUGGCCGACGGUGUGUAUAGCGUGGAGAAGCCGUUCGUGGGCGUGUCGACGUGGAGUGUGAAGUAACGGCGCGUGUGGAAGCUGGCACGAAGGCAGCAGCGGUGCUGGAAGCUGCUGGAAACCAGUUGCGACGCAAGGGAAAGAAACCCUUAGGGUUUCUGCUCAAAAAUGUCUUGGGUCGUUUGGGCCUGUCUCAGGAUAAUUGGGUAGGGUUUCAAUUGGGUUAAGGCUAUUAGGAAUUUGGGUUAAUAAUUUGCUUGUAAGUGGGCUAGGUAAUUUGGGCUUGUAACAUGGACAUUGAACUGCUGAUUAUUGGGUUUUAUUUUGUUAUUAUUAUUUUUUUA